rnacentral:rRNA from 1 species
GAUGAACGCUGGCGGCGUGCUUAACACAUGCAAGUCGAACGGUGAACGGGGGAGCUUGCUCCCUCCGGAUCAGUGGCGAACGGGUGAGUAACACGCGAGCAAUCUGCCCUGGACUCUGGGAUAAGCGUUGGAAACGACGUCUAAUACCGGAUACGAGGCGUGGGGGCAUUCCCAACGCCUGGAAAGAACUGCGGUCCAGGAUGAGCUCGCGGCCUAUCAGCUAGUUGGUGAGGUAACGGCUCACCAAGGCGACGACGGGUAGCCGGCCUGAGAGGGUGACCGGCCACACUGGGACUGAGACACGGCCCAGACUCCUACGGGAGGCAGCAGUGGGGAAUAUUGCACAAUGGGCGCAAGCCUGAUGCAGCAACGCCGCGUGAGGGACGACGGCCUUCGGGUUGUAAACCUCUUUUAGCAGGGAAGAAGCGAAAGUGACGGUACCUGCAGAAAAAGCACCGGCUAACUACGUGCCAGCCGCCGCGGUAAUAC